AGGUUUGCCAUUGGCUGUCACGUUCCGUUAGCGAGGAACCACGUGGAUCGCCUCUGUGUGUUUCUAUCUGAGGUUUCUUCAUCCUAGGGACUCGGUACUUACUGGGUCUGUAACCGCCAGCCAACAGCCACCCUCCUCGCGGUGGCCAUAUUUCCCUGAGAGAGCCCAGGAGAUAAACGAUAGUGUGGAUUCCCCUGGUACCCACCACAAGGCCGGUGGUCGUUGUGAUGGUCUGCCACAGCCGGGAGUGACUUACCUUCUGAGUGCUCUCUCAAUAGCGGUCUGCUAUGACUGGGAAAUCCUUUCCAGAGCCUAUGUUGAGAUCCGGCUGCCACGUCGUGUUACCAGAAGGUGUAAUUUUAGAGGUAUCUAGGUCCCAAGGGCCCACUGUGGGAACGGCUGUGUCUCUGCCUCACAUUGGACAUUGCACAGCUCAGACACCGUGCUGCCCGGAUUUGACUUGAUGAAGAAAGGACGACCCCCGACUGAUACAAGAACACCACCCUCAACACCAAGGUGUCUCUCUGCCCAUUGCCUGGAGGGCCUUUUGAGUUCUUGAGGAAAGCCAAGACCCCUCUCUGGCCCAAGCCGUAAAGACACAAACAAACUGCUCUCAGCUACUCUCUCGGGGAAAGCUUAAGCAAAUAAAAGAUUUAGCAGGUCUACUUCCCCUGUUCCCUUGUUGCUAGGAAGCAGUUUGUAGACAAAUCAGAGAACCCCGAUGUUGGGGCCCAGGUUUCAGCAUCCCACAUCACACAACUGACAGGUGUGUGACUUUGCGAGCAAACCACAAUUUCUUGAAAUAUUCCUCAUUCGUAAGCAGGGUCAACAGUGGCUAUGUUUAGAGUCUGGGUGAGAUCAGAAUGGUAAAGCCAAUAGACAACAGGACCUUACAGCAAGUUAUUGUCCCAGACAAUGCUGUCAGAUUUGCAUUGUUUCUGGAAGUGAUUGCAAAGGAAGCCAUCAUUGUGUGCGGAGACCAGCCAACUUAGCAGAGGUGCGUCUGAACAAGGUCACAGUGCGUUGGUCCGCAUGAAUCCAAAUAGGAAAAUUUCUUCUCCCGAAAUAGAAAUUAUUAAAAAAAAAAAAAAAAGUCAAAAUAUUUUUCAGGCUCCCAACCAGCCAGAACCUGAUUUUAUUUUACACCUUAGGUUUUCUCUUGGGGAUCACAAACAUACUUGCCAAUCAUAAUAAACUGCUUCUGAAUGUGGUCAGAAACUUGAUUCUGAUACUUCUGAACGUGGUCAGAACUUGAUUCAAAACCAAGCACAGAAUAAAGCCGGGUGUUUCUGGCCGUGGC